CGCGAGUAUGCUCACAAUGCUUCAUGUUAGUAACUCACUUAACGAUAUAAAUCAAGUGAUCAAUCCAACAAAUAAUGAUGAAGAUUUUCUUUUUAAUUCUCAUAAUAGCAUUUCUUGCUACUGAAUUGCAUGCAGGGUGCCAAGGUGGGGGUCAAGAUUGUAACAAAAUUUUUAAUUCUUGUUGCGAUCCUUGGUAUUGCACUAAUUGGUUUGGAAAGGGAAGGUGUGUCUCAUAGUAACCAGUAACAUGAAGUCUGUAUGCAGAUGCUAACGGUCUUGCGGACAUUUACAGUAUAAUGCAAGAAAGAGAAGUCGCAGAAAAUAAAUAAUCAACGAAUGUAAAUUUUAUUAAAUAGCCUUUAAUAUCCAUUAAUAGUUGUUUUUUUUAAAUUAUUGUACAAAAUUUUAAUUAUUUUCUUUUCAAAAACUAAGUACCUCACAUUCAUAUCAGUUGAGAUUAAAUGUAACUAAAUUACA